rnacentral:tRNA from 1 species
GGGGCUGUAGAUCAGUUGGUAGAGCAUCUGCUUGGCAGGCAUAAGAUCCUAGGUUCGAUUCUCAGCAUCUCCA